UGGAAAUGUGAAAGGAGAGCAGGACAGCACUCCCCUUGGUUAGGAGGGAAGAAGUCCUAGUGGCCUUAACUGUGUUUAAGACUGUCUCUUUCUUUGUGGCAUCUAAUGUAUAUCCUGU
rnacentral:ncRNA from 1 species